rnacentral:rRNA from 1 species
UGGGGGAAUUUUUGGACAAUGGGCGAAAGCCUGAUCCAGCAAUGCCGCGUGUGUGAAGAAGGCCUUCGGGUUGUAAAGCACUUUUGUCCGGAAAGAAAUCCUUGGCUCUAAUACAGUCGGGGGAUGACGGUACCGGAAGAAUAAGCACCGGCUAACUACGUGCCAGCAGCCGCGGUAAUACGUAGGGUGCAAGCGUUAAUCGGAAUUACUGGGCGUAAAGCGUGCGCAGGCGGUUUGCUAAGACCGAUGUGAAAUCCCCGGGCCCAACCUGGGAACUGCAUUGGUGACUGGCAGGCUAGAGUAUGGCAGAGGGGGGCUAGAAUUCCACGUGUAGCAGUGAAAUGCGUAGAGAUGUGGAGGAAUACCGAUGGCGAAGGCAGCCCCCUGGGCCAAUACUGACGCUCAUGCACGAAAGCGUGGGGGAGCAAACAGGAUUAGAUACCCUGGUAGUCCACGCCCUAAACGAUGUCAACUAGUUGUUGGGGAUUCAUUUCCUUAGUAACGUAGCUAACCGCGUGAAGUUGACCGCCUGGGGAGUACGGU